GAUGAAGAACGCAGCGAAAUGCGAUAAGUAAUGUGAAUUGCAGAAUUCAGUGAAUCAUCGAAUCUUUGAACGCACAUUGCGCCCGCCAGUAUUCUGGCGGGCAUGCCUGUUCGAGCGUCAUUUCAACCAUCAAGCCCCAGGCUUGUGUUGGGGACCUGCGGCUGCCGCAGGCCCUGAAAACCAGUGGCGGGCUCGCUGUCACACCGGGCGUAGUAGAUUUUAUCUCGCUCAGGGCUUGCUGCGGGUUCCGGCCGUUAAAAAGCCUUUUUUACCCAAGGUUGACCUCGGAUCAGGUAGGAAGACCCGCUGAACUUAAGCAUAUCAAUAAGCGGAGGA
rnacentral:misc_RNA from 1 species